GUCGGUGGCACGAGCGAGGGGGUCACACCUGGUCCCAUCCCGAACCCAGUCGUUAAGCCCCUCAGCGCCGAUGGUACUCGGGCGGAGACGCCCCGGGAGAGUAGGUCGCCGCCGGCC
rnacentral:rRNA from 1 species